rnacentral:rRNA from 1 species
CCUACGGGAGGCUGCAGUAGGGAAUCUUUCACAAUGGGCGAAAGCCUGAUGGAGCAACGCCGCGUGCAGGAUGAAGGCCUUCGGGUUGUAAACUGCUUUUAUAAGCGAGAAAUAUGAUGGUAACUUAUGAAUAAGGAUCGGCUAACUACGUGCCAGCAGCCGCGGUCAUACGUAGGAUCCGAGCAUUAUCCGGAGUGACUGGGUGUAAAGAGUUGCGUAGGUGGGAUAAUAAGUAGCUAGUGAAAUCUGGUGGGUCAACCAUUCAGACUACUAGCUAAACUGUUAAGCUCGAGACCGUUAGAGGUAACAGGAAUGUCAAGUGUAGGAGUGAAAUGCGUAGAUAUAAGAAGGAACACCAAUGGCGAAGGCAGGUUGCUGGGACG